UGCUUUGCCGCUAUAUCCUGAAGCACCCUCAUGAUUCCUGCACAGGCACCAGAAUUGCACAGACUUUCUACUACUGAGGCUCCCUAGAAGCUGAACAAUGAUAGUGGUGAAACCAUCUAUGAAGCCAUCUAUGACAGGCAGCUUGCCUGGAAAGACACUGUGAAUUCACCUCUGAUCCGCACCAGUAAAACCUCCUGUUAAAUGGAGAAAGUCAAGGCUGGUGCUUGUCUUCUUUCAUUGCCUUCUCAGGAUGUUCAACUUGUGAUGACUGCAACAAAAGCAGACAUCUGACAUGUCUACUGGCCUCAGGGCAGUGGAAUGGCAUGACAGAGCUGCCAGUCCUGUGGCUUUGAUUGGCUUACCCCUUUCCACCUCCUCAAUUUCUAUUUAGAAGUUGCAUGAGAUUUUUUAAACAAGUGCCUAAAUUAACUGGCACAAAUCAUCUUGCCCAGCUGAAUACCCAAGUGAAAUACUUUAUUUUUACAUAUCCAAGACAUUUAAAUGCAAUUUGAAGACCUGGGUAGCGCAAAGACUGAAUAGUCAGCAUGCACAAUUUUCUUCAUUUAGUUUACUCUUUACCAGGUAGCCCAGGCUGAUGGUGACUGACACUCCUUGGCUUUUGUGACAGUUUAUGUUUAUGCAGCAGCAGAUCUUAAGUGAGUAUUAGUAUCAAAACAGUCAAUCAAUAUUGGCAGUAAGUGGUGGCUUUACUGCAAAUCCUUCAAGCAGAAAGACUAAAACUAGGGGAAUGCAUUGAACUACUUAGCCCUUAUCUCUUAAAUACACAGCAUGGCUUGAAGGCUGGGCCAUGAUGGCAGCCUGGAGUUUAGUGGUUGAUAGCAGUAGCUGCAUUCCAGAAGCUCAUUCCUCCUGGCUGGGCUGUGUGGGGCUCAAUGGCCUUACCCAGAGCAGGGCAGGACUGCAACUGGGAGCAGGGCAGCAUGCCCAGCUCUGAUGCCAGACCAGCAGUGAGCAAGGACAACUUCAUCAAAAAAGGCAGUGACAUUUAUAAGGAAGAAGAGAAAAAAUAUUACAAUUUCUCAUACCUGGACAGUAAAAGUGCAGAUGGCAGUGACAUUUAAGGGAAGACGUGCAUGAACUAUGUCUUUCAAAACCUGAUGGUCAUUUGUAGAUGUAGACAGGUCUGUCAAAGCAGCUAAACCUUGAAACUACUUUAAUACUACUUGUGAUUAAACUGCUAUGCCUGGCAAAAGCUAGAAGGGAAAAAGAUGCUUUCUUAGAAAGGGGCUGGUAAUAGCACAUGACCUUGGACAGUUUAUUAAGUAAGAAUCAAGUAAAAAGGUGCCUGGACAAAGGAAACCCCUAAAGCUUAUGACUAUUGGAAUUAAUAUGGUAAGACCUCAGGCAAAGACGGCAGACGACAAUUAGUUCAGACUUAAUAGGCAGUGUUUGCAGAUGUACAAUACAUCUUGGAAAACACUGUAUUACUUGUUCAGGUUUCUGAAAAACGUAGAAGUCAAUAAUAAAAUACAAAUUGUUAUAAAGACAGGUAAUGGAAAGCUGUAAGUUAGAGGACAUGUUAGGUCAGUUUAUAAUCACAGAGAUGCUCUCAUUUUCUGUCAUGCACGUUGUUUGCACUGUUGGUUUCUAUGGCAUUGGUUCCCAAGAAGAUUGAAGAAACUAAUGUGUGAGUUAAACAAUAUAAGAUUUUUAAAACAUUCCUUGAAGUAAUAAACAAACAAGUGAUGCUGUGAGCAGCCUGACUUUAUCUUGUUGUACUAUUGUGAAAGAUAUUAUUAAAAAAACCCUAUAAAUGCUAUAACAAUGAUGACAACAUGAAUCACAAGACAAUUUGUGAAUCUACCACAUUUUUCUACCAUAAAUUAAUUUACGUAUCUUUUGAACACACCUAUUUUUAACCACACAAUAGAGGUUCCAAUGUGGUACUAUAAUAUUACAGUACAAUAUCACAAUGUGAUAUCUUGUACAGAUUGUGCUCAACAGGGUUUGAAUUUGGGGUGAAAUAAGAGGGGUGGAGGAGAGAGGAAAUUCCAGCAUGUGUUACAAAGUGUACAGGCAAGUUAUUCUGAGGAAGUACCUCAAAUAUCUUUGACCCACAGCAAACAAAAAAUAAACAAACAAUCCAAUCCUAAAAAAAAUAUUUUGCAUUUCACAAUUUGACAGCAUUGUGGCUACAGUUUCCACUUGUGCUAUGUCCUGUGAUUUGUUCAGGGGAACCAUUUCUCUUCCAGAAAAUAUUAGCAGGAAGAUGUUCUUCCACUUUCAUGGGAAAGUGAGAUAUUAGUUCUGGCUUAUUAAACUAUUUCAGCAAAGGGCUUCCUAGCAUCACAGAGAUGUGAAAUGUCAAACAUCUACAUACUAUAUUCCAUCCUUAUGCUAAUGCCUAACUAUUCCCUAUACUAUGCAAAAUGUGUUGUAACCCAGGGCCUGACAUACUAUCAAUUAAAUAUCUUUUUCUGA